rnacentral:rRNA from 1 species
GUCCAGACUCCUACGGGAGGCAGCAGUGAGGAAUAUUGGUCAAUGGCCGAGAGGCUGAACCAGCCAAGUCGCGUGAGGGAUGACGGCCCUACGGGUUGUAAACCUCUUUUGCCGGGGAGCAAAGAGCGGGACGCGUCCCGCCUCGAGAGUACCCGGAGAAAAAGCAUCGGCUAACUCCGUGCCAGCAGCCGCGGUAAUACGGAGGAUGCGAGCGUUAUCCGGAUUUAUUGGGUUUAAAGGGUGCGUAGACGGGAAAUUAAGUUAGUUGUGAAAUCCCUCGGCUUAACUGAGGAACUGCAACUAAAACUGAUUUUCUUGAGUACUGGAGAGGAAAGUGGAAUUCCUAGUGUAGCGGUGAAAUGCGUAGAUAUUAGGAGGAACACCAGUGGCGAAGGCGACUUUCUGGACAGUAACUGACGUUGAGGCACGAAAGUGUGGGGAGCAAACAGGAUUAGAUACCCGUGUAAU